UUUACCCUGCCCAUGCUCGUGAUUGAGAAGCAAAGUCCUUGAACCGUAAAUAAACUAAUACGGAGCCUUAAACUCAGAUGGCGGCCGACAGGCCUUAAUUGGAAGUCGAAAACCAUCGAGCCGGUUCCACCUGUUUCUCGAGAGUUCAAAGGAACUGUUACCGCACGGCAUUUACGGUGGGGUUGAU
rnacentral:other from 1 species